AUGCUCAUGAACAUCGAGGUCGGAUCAAGGAUGAUGGUGCACCGCGGCAUGUGGUGGCCUAUUUUUUUUGUAGUGGGUUAUGAUGAUAGAAAUAUAUUGACCCUGAUGUGACAAAGCUCCCGAGUAGAAUUUACAGGUUUGACUGAAUUGUGGAGAGGAAUGGCGAUUCGUUGCUGGUGCAGAGUCAGGAGUGCUUGGAGAAGGUUGCCAAGACGGUCUCCUUUCUCGCGCAGCCUGAAGGCUCAUUCCUGCUGUUGCUCACAGGUAAUUCAGUUCUGAUGCAUCUGCUCUAAUACUUUUAUGGAGUUAUAUAUAGGGGCUACUGAUUGUG